rfam:Glycine soja cultivar W05 scaffold363_21, whole genome shotgun sequence.
CUUUUAUUAGAUGUUGAUCGUCACAUGUCGCACGUUUAUUGGACGUUAAUUUUGUGUACCUAAUUAAUGUCAACCUCCAAUAAAAUCGCAACACGUGGUGGUCAACAUCCAAUAAAAGCGCGACACGUGACGGUCAAGGUAA